UACCUGGAGGUGGCCGUGGGCGGCGGCGAUGUGGAGGGCGGAGAGGCGGUCGAAGAGCGUGGUGCGGCCGAGGAGGGAAGGGCGGGAGCGGACGGCGGCGGCGAGGCGGGCGAGGUCGCCCGACUGCGCCGCGCCGAAGAAGUCCACCUCCUCGCUGGGCCGCCCGCAGCUGGCGCCCUGCCCCAUCGCCGC
rnacentral:sRNA from 1 species